AUUGAACGCUGGCGGCAGGCCUAACACAUGCAAGUCGAGCGGAUGAAGGGAGCUUGCUCCUGGAUUCAGCGGCGGACGGGUGAGUAAUGCCUAGGAAUCUGCCUGGUAGUGGGGGAUAACGUCCGGAAACGGGCGCUAAUACUGCAUACGUCCUGAGGGUGAAAGUGGGGGAUCUUCGGACCUCACGCUAUCAGAUGAGCCUAGGUCGGAUUAGCUAGUUGGUGGGGUAAAGGCCUACCAAGGCGACGAUCCGUAACUGGUCUGAGAGGAUGAUCAGUCACACUGGAACUGAGACACGGUCCAGACUCCUACGGGAGGCAGCAGUGGGGAAUAUUGGACAAUGGGCGAAAGCCUGAUCCAGCCAUGCCGCGUGUGUGAAGAAGGUCUUCGGAUUGUAAAGCACUUUAAGUUGGGAGGAAGGGCAGUAAGUUGAUACCUUGCUGUUUUGACGUUACCAGCAGAAUAAGCACCGGCUAACUACGUG
rnacentral:rRNA from 1 species